AGAGUUUGAUCCUGGCUCAGGAUGAACGCUGACAGAAUGCUUAACACAUGCAAGUCUACUUGAUCCUUCGGGUGAAGGUGGCGGACGGGUGAGUAACGCGUAAAGAACUUGCCUUACAGACUGGGACAACAUUUGGAAACGAAUGCUAAUACCGGAUAUUAUGACUGAGUCGCAUGAUUUGGUUAUGAAAGCUAUAUGCGCUGUGAGAGAGCUUUGCGUCCCAUUAGUUAGUUGGUGAGGUAACGGCUCACCAAGACGAUGAUGGGUAGCCGGCCUGAGAGGGUGAACGGCCACAAGGGGACUGAGACACGGCCCUUACUCCUACGGGAGGCAGCAGUGGGGAAUAUUGGACAAUGGACCAAAAGUCUGAUCCAGCAAUUCUGUGUGCACGAUGAAGUUUUUCGGAAUGUAAAGUGCUUUCAGUUGGGAAGAAGUCAGUGACGGUACCAACAGAAGAAGCGACGGCUAAAUACGUGCCAGCAGCCGCGGUAAUACGUAUGUCGCAAGCGUUAUCCGGAUUUAUUGGGCGUAAAGCGCGUCUAGGCGGUUUAGUAAGUCUGAUGUGAAAAUGCGGGGCUCAACCCCGUAUUGCGUUGGAAACUGCUAAACUAGAGUACUGGAGAGGUAGGCGGAACUACAAGUGUAGAGGUGAAAUUCGUAGAUAUUUGUAGGAAUGCCGAUGGGGAAGCCAGCCUACUGGACAGAUACUGACGCUAAAGCGCGAAAGCGUGGGUAGCAAACAGGAUUAGAUACCCUGGUAGUCCACGCCGUAAACGAUGAUUACUAGGUGUUGGUGGGUACGACCCAUCGGUGCCGCAGCAAACGCAAUAAGUAAUCCACCUGGGGAGUACGUUCGCAAGAAUGAAACUCAAAGGAAUUGACGGGGACCC
rnacentral:rRNA from 2 species